rnacentral:rRNA from 1 species
GAAUUUUGGGCAAUGGGCGAAAGCCUGACCCAGCAACGCCGCGUGAAGGAUGAAAUCCCUCGGGUUGUAAACUUCAUAAGAACGGGAAGAAUAAGCCGGUGUUAAUACCACCGGUGAUGACGGUACAGUUAGUAAGCUCCGGCUAACUCGCUUCCAGCAGCCGCGGUACUACGGGGGGAGCAAGCGUUGUUCGGAUUUACUGGGCGUAAAGGGCGCGUAGGCGGCCACCGCAAGUCGACUGUGAAAUCUCCGGGCUUAACCCGGAAAGGUCAGCCGAUACUGCGGGGCUAGAGUGCAGAAGGGGCAACUGGAAUUCUCGGUGUAGCGGUGAAAUGCGUAGAUAUCGAGAGGAACACCUGCGGCGAAGGCGGGUUGCUGGGCUGACACUGACGCUGAGGCGCGAAAGCUAGGGGAGCGAACGGG